rnacentral:tRNA from 1 species
UCCUUUGUGACUCAGAUGGUAAAGAAUCUGCCUGCAAUGCAGCAGACCCAGGUUCAAUCCCUGGGUUAGGAA